CCUCGGGCGGCAGCAGUGGGGAAUAUUGGACAAUGGGGGGAACCCUGAUCCAGCCAUGCCGCGUGUGUGAAGAAGGCCCUCGGGUUGUAAAGCACUUUCAGUGAGGAAGAACGCCUGGUGGUUAAUACCCAUCAGGAAAGACAUCACUCACAGAAGAAGCACCGGCUAACUCCGUGCCAGCAGCCGCGGUAAUACGGAGGGUGCGAGCGUUAAUCGGAAUUACUGGGCGUAAAGCGCGCGUAGGUGGCUUGAUAAGCCGGUUGUGAAAGCCCCGGGCUCAACCUGGGAACGGCAUCCGGAACUGUCAAGCUAGAGUGCAGGAGAGGAAGGUAGAAUUCCCGGUGUAGCGGUGAAAUGCGUAGAGAUCGGGAGGAAUACCAGUGGCGAAGGCGGCCUUCUGGACUGACACUGACACUGAGGUGCGAAAGCGUGGGUAGCAAACAGGAUUAGAUACCCUAGUAGUC
rnacentral:rRNA from 1 species